GAUGAACGCUGGCGGCGUGCCUAAUACAUGCAAGUAGAACGCUGAAGCUUGGUGCUUGCACCGAGCGGAUGAGUUGCGAACGGGUGAGCAACGCGUAGGUAACCUGCCUCUUAGCGGGGGAUAACUAUUGGAAACGAUAGCUAAUACCGCAUAAAAGUCGAUAUCGCAUGAUAUUGAUUUGAAAGGUGCAAAUGCAUCACUAAGAGAUGGACCUGCGUUGUAUUAGCUAGUUGGUGAGGUAACGGCUCACCAAGGCGACGAUACAUAGCCGACCUGAGAGGGUGAUCGGCCACACUGGGACUGAGACACGGCCCAGACUCCUACGGGAGGCAGCAGUAGGGAAUCUUCGGCAAUGGGGGCAACCCUGACCGAGCAACGCCGCGUGAGUGAAGAAGGUUUUCGGAUCGUAAAGCUCUGUUGUAAGAGAAGAACGAGUGUGAGAGUGGAAAGUUCACACUGUGACGGUAACUUACCAGAAAGGGACGGCUAACUACGUG
rnacentral:rRNA from 1 species